AAGGGUGAGUAAGGCGACGGCAACCAACCCCGCGGCCGGGCAUAGCCACUCGAAAGGGUGGGUAAUUCCCGGCGCCCCAGGGUGCUGGCAUCAGCAGCUUGGGAAAGGUGAGACUCCGCCGUGGGACGGACCGUCGUGGUAUCAGCUUGUUGGCGGGGUAAUGGCCCACCAAGGCUAUGACGCCUACCGGGCGUGCGAGCGUGGCCCGGCACACUGGGACUGAGACACUGCCCAGACUCCUACGGGAGGCUGCAGUCGAGAAUCUUCGGCAAUGGGCGCAAGCCUGACCGAGCGACGCCGCGUGGAGGACGAAGGCCUUCGGGUUGUAAACUCCUGUCGAGGGGGAACAAGGUGCCGUGAAGAGCGGUGCUUGAGUGAACCCUGGAGGAAGCACGGGCUAAGUUCGUGCCAGCAGCCGCGGUAAGACGAACCGUGCGAACGUUAUUCGGAAUCACUGGGCUUAAAGCGCGUGUAGGCGGCCCGGCACGUCCGUCGCUGAAAUCCCCCGGCUCAACCGGGGAAGUGGCGUGGAUACGACCGGGCUGGAGGGGGGUAGGGGGAGCCGGAACUUCCGGUGGAGCGGUGAAAUGCGUU
rnacentral:rRNA from 1 species